UUUUUGGAUACCCAGUGGGUGUUAGGCUUUUAAUCUAAAUUUGGAUAAUAUGUCCCCAUGCGG
rnacentral:tRNA from 1 species